rnacentral:rRNA from 1 species
UACGGAGGGUCCAAGCGUUAUCCGGAAUCAUUGGGUUUAAAGGGUUCGUAGGCGGUUUUGUAAGUCAGUGGUGAAAGCCCAUCGCUCAACGGUGGAACGGCCAUUGAUACUGCAAGACUUGAAUUAUUAGGAAGUAACUAGAAUAUGUAGUGUAGCGGUGAAAUGCUUAGAUAUUACAUGGAAUACCAAUUGCGAAGGCAGGUUACUACUAAUUUGAUUGACGCUGAUGGACGAAAAGCGUGGGGGAGCGAACAGG